UUAGUUGCCCACUUUGAGCCUAUUUAUUAUGCAUUUCCUUGGUACCUUGAUAUGAUUAAAUAUAUAUAUUUUUUGGUAACCACUUGGAAUUGAAAAUGGAGCGAACUAUUGAAAAUAAAAGAGAAUUGUCAUAUAUUUGAGAUGUUCAUGUAUUUUGUUGAGCUGAAAAUAAAAAUUCCAAAUUUGAGCUGCUCAUGUGUACUCUAUGUAUAACUAGGAAGAAAAAAAAAAUGGCUCUGGUGUUUGUAAUGAAAAAAAAAAAGAACAAGAGAAAAAAAAGGAUGAUGAUAGUAAAAGGAGAAAAGAAGUAGCUUGUGUGGAUUAUUGUGAAUACUUCCUUCAAAAGAAAGAAAGAAAAUUUUUUUUUGCAAAUUGAGAAAUUAAGAAACAAAGUUUUAGGACCACACUCUGUAUGAAAGAAAAAAAAAUGAAAGAAGUAAUAGUUUUGGAGUUGAACAAAAUUGUGAAAAUAUAUAGGAGCUCCAUUUUUGUUUCAAAGGUUACUAUUUGUUUCUUGUUUUCUUACCCCUUUGAUUAUCCAUUUCUUCUUAUAUCCCACCUUGCAUGAAUUAACCAUGGCCCUGUUACAACCUGUAAGACCUCAACUUUUGCAUGCAUGUAGACUAUUUAGUGGAGAUAUCGGUCAAAUUACAAGCUUAUGGUAAUGUGCAUUUUGUGGAAACUUGAGUGCUUAUUUUCAAAGUCCCUAAACACUUAAGAGAUUGUGAGAGAACGCUCCUGUUCAUUUAAAGGUAGUUUUCAUGGACAUAUAAGACUCUAAUUGGGCAACCUUUUGACUACUCCAUAUAUUUUAUAUUGUCUGUCAUUGUUGCUUAUAAUUUAUGGUAUCUCAUUUGGCUAUCUCUGUCAUCCUUUUUGAAAAUGUAUUGAGCCAGGAAAUUUGCUUGAGGACAAGCAAAGCUUAAGUGUGGGGGAGUUGAUAAACUCCAAUUUAGUACAUUAUAUGUAGAUACUUUUGUGGUAUUUUAGAGUAAUUAUUUAUUAUUAUAUAAAUAACUCACUUGAUUUGCUCUAUAUUNNNNNNNNNNNNNNNNNNNNNNNNNNNNNNNNNNNNNNNNNNNNNNNNNNNNNNNNNNCUAACCAUUUUGUCUUAUUGGAUGCAAAUGAUGACAAGCCCAAAUGGAUAUAUCUCACAUAAUGACCCAAAGAAAAUCAAAACCAUAGUCUUGGAUUAAAAUGAAAUUGGAAUACAAGUGGUUUUUGUCUCUUUCAAAGCACAAGUGGCUGAAGAAAAAGAAGUAAAGUGCAGCAGCAACACGUGAAACAACAGAGGGAGGCGGUGAUUAAGUGAUACAUGGGAAGCCUUAAGGAGGAAGUUUUCGGCACAACACAGAGGAAAAAAGGCGGCAGUGGCAGAUUCGCAAAUUCCAGAUUCUUAUACUUGAAGCAAUUGGAACCAAUGCCUACUAUAAAUAGGGAUUUUGGAGAACAAUUUGAAGGGGGCUGUACGUUGUACAUAUAGAAGAUAGUUUUGGAGAGGAGAGAUUGANN
rnacentral:lncRNA from 1 species